rnacentral:rRNA from 1 species
AAUUGUAGUCUGUAGAAGCUUCCCCGGCGCCGGACCGAGCCAGAGUCCCUUGGAAUGGGGCGCCAUAGAGGGUGAGAGCCCCUUGAGGCUUGGAACGUGACGCAACGCGGGGUGCUAUCACAGAGUCGGGCUGUUUGGGAGUACAGCCCCAAUGGGGCGGUAAGUUCCGUCCAAGGCUAAAUACGCGCGAGAGACCGAUAGCGAACAAGUACCGCGAGGGAAAGAUGAAAAGGACUUUGGAAAGAGAGUUAAAGAGUGCUUGAAAUUGCCGGGAGGGAAGCGGAUGGAGGCCAACGCUGCGUUCGAGGCGGAUGCGGGACGUGGAGACGUCGGCCCGCUGCUCGGAUUCGGACGGAGAGCCGCACGGGCCUCNGCGGCCACAGAAGUGCCAGGGGGAGCCUCCUGGCAUGGCGUCGUCGACGGGGUCGAGGAUCGCAGCAUGCGUACUUGUGUGGGGCGUCGCGGNGCCUGCAUGCUCGAGGUGUGGACAGUGGGCCUUCCAUUCGGCCCGUCUUGAAACACGGACCAAGGAGUCUAACAAGUGUGCGAGUCGNGGAGUGAUGAAACUCGCACGGNGAAAGGAAGCUGAUAGUCGGGACCCCGCCGUGGCGGCGGGAGCACCGUCCACCGACCACGAUCUUNNNGAGAAUGGUUCGAGUGGUAGCAUGCCUGAUGGGACCCGAAAGAUGGUGAACUAUGCCUGAGCAGGGUGAAGCCAGAGGAAACUCUGGUGGAGGCCCGUCGCGAUACUGACGUGCAAAUCGUUCGUCUGACUUGGGUAUAGGGGCCAAAGACUAAUCAAACCAUCUAGUAGCUGGUUCCCU